CACCUCCCUCCCAGGCUUGACCAAUCGGAUAUCCGUCUUGCCCAACAGACCCAAUCAGAAGUCUCACUCUCGGUCUUGUCCCGCCCCCCAAAGGCAGAGGCCGCGGGAAGUCUCCGCCCACGCCUUGGAAAGUAGCCAGGGAGUGUCUGUGACAUCACCGAGGAACUCCUCCUGCCUGAGCGCAGCCCACUGAUGGCUGUCGCCUACAGCGGACCAAUAGAGGGCUUGGGUUCGGAAGUGAUGGACUGGAGGCUUGACUAAUGGGAAAAGGGCAUCUGAAAGAGAAGCCAGCUGCCAUGCCAUGAACUGUAAUAUGAAAAGGCCAAUGUAGCAAGGAUGUGUCCAGCCAACAGCCAGUAAGGAUCUGAGGCCCUCAGUCCAACAACCUAUGAGCAACUGAAUUCCGCUAAUAAACAUGUAAGUGAACACAGAAGUGGGUCCUUCCCCAGGCGAGCCUUCAUAUGUCCACAGAUCCAGCCAAGACUUUGACUGCAGCCUUGUGAGAGCCCCUAAGCCAGAGGACCCAGCUAAGCCACGCUCAACUUCUUGACCUGUCAGAGCUCAUCUCAGCCCUUUCCAAACCAACACACUGAGUUCUCCAAGUACAGCCCCCUUGCCAUCCUUACUGAAACCAUUUGGGAUUACUCAAUCAGAGCUGCAUUUUUAAGAUCAUCUCAUUCCUCAUGGGCAGUUUUUUUUUUUUAAACAGUAUAACAAACCACGGAAUCCUGCCCAUUUCAUCUCUGACAUUGUUUUAAUAAAUUCUGAAGAUGUAUUAAUUUUGCUCCUCUGCACUUUUGACUUUCUACCAUCUGUUGAGAUUUUUCUUUUUAUUUUAACGUGUUCUAUCAUUCUAUUCCAAUUUGGAAUGGGAGCAAACUUUUAUCACCCUCUGGCCUUCGUUUGUUUAAUUCUUCCUGUUCUAACAGUGUUCAGUAUAAUAGAAAUGUCCCAGCUUUGAGGAUUUUCUUUCAAUUUCUAUUUCUUAUUUAUUUAUUUAUUUGGAGACAGGGUCUUGCUCUA